rnacentral:rRNA from 1 species
UACGUAGGGCGCGAGCGUUGUCCGGAAUUAUUGGGCGUAAAGAGCUCGUAGGCGGCCUGUUGCGUCCGCUGUGAAAUCCCUCGGCUUAACCGGGGAACUGCGUCUGAUACUGGAUGGCUUGAGUUCGGGAGAGGGAUGCGGAAUUCCAGGUGUAGCGGUGAAAUGCGUAGAUAUCUGGAGGAACACCGGUGGCGAAGGCGGCAUCCUGGACCGAUACUGACGCUGAGGAGCGAAAGCCAGGGGAGCAAACGGG